AACGAACGCUGGCGGCAUGCCUAACACAUGCAAGUCGAACGAACCCUUCGGGGUGAGUGGCGCACGGGUGCGUAACACGUGGGAACCUGCCCUUAGGUUCGGAAUAACAGUUAGAAAUGACUGCUAAUACCGGAUAAUGUCUUCGGACCAAAGAUUUAUCGCCUUUGGAUGGGCCCGCGUAGGAUUAGCUAGUUGGUGAGGUAAAGGCUCACCAAGGCGACGAUCCUUAGCUGGUCUUAGAGGAUGAUCAGCCACACUGGGACUGAGACACGGCCCAGACUCCUACGGGAGGCAGCAGUGGGGAAUAUUGGACAAUGGGCGAAAGCCUGAUCCAGCAAUGCCGCGUGAGUGAUGAAGGCCUUAGGGUUGUAAAGCUCUUUUACCUGGGAUGAUAAUGACAGUACCAGGAGAAUAAGCCCCGGCUAACUCCGUGCCAGCAGCCGCCGUAAAAC
rnacentral:rRNA from 1 species